UUCUUACUGUUAUUAUUGUAAGUAACACCUGCUCCAUGAAUCUUAAAUAGCCGCGGAAAUUUAACCGUGCUAAGGUAGCAUAAUCAUUAGCCUCUUAAUUAGAGGCUAGUAUGAAUGGUGAAACGCUUCUUAUACUUUAUUUAAUAAAUUUUACUUAAUUUAAACCAAGAAUAAAAAUGUUCUUAUAUAUAAAAUAGACGAUAAGACCCUAUUGAACUUUACUUUUGUUUGGCUGGGGCAGCCGAUAAAAAUUUAUCUUUUUCGUUUAUAUUAAUAUAAAUGACCCAAAUUACUUGAUUUUUUGAACAAGUUACCAUAGGGAUAACAGCAUAAUUUUUUUUUAAAGUUCUUAUUUAAAAAAAGGAUUGUGACCUCGAUGUUGAAUUAAUAUUUCCUAAAGAUGCAGUUAUUUUAAAGGUAGGUCUGUUCGACCUUUAAAAUAUUACAU
rnacentral:rRNA from 1 species